ensembl:snRNA U1 U1 spliceosomal RNA
AUACUUACCUGGCAGGGGAGAUACUGGUAUGAUGAAGGUGAUUUUCACCUCCCCCCACUGCCUCCCCCACAGCGUGGCUUAUCUAUCACACUUCGGAUGUGCUGACCCCUGCAAUUUCCACAAAACUUGACUGCAUAAUUUGUGGUUGUAGGGGACUGCAUUUGCACUUUUCCCUG